rnacentral:rRNA from 1 species
UACAGAGGGGGCGAGCGUUGUUCGGAAUUACUGGGCGUAAAGGGCGCGUAGGCGGCCCGCUAAGUCGAACGUGAAAUCCCCAGGCUCAACCUGGGAACUGCGUCCGAUACUGGCAGGCUUGAAUCCGGGAGAGGGAUGUGGAAUUCCAGGUGUAGCGGUGAAAUGCGUAGAUAUCUGGAGGAACACCGGUGGCGAAGGCGGCUCACUGGACUGGUAUUGACGCUGAAGUGCGAAAGCGUGGGGAGCAAACAGG